rnacentral:lncRNA from 1 species
CUUUCCCUGAGCAUAGGAGAGACACUUCAGUGUCAUGAACCCUGUAGAAAAUAAAUGAAUCAAUGUCAUCCUCAGCUAAUGCAUUGCACUGAUUUGACUAAAAUGAGGCCAUGGUUUGGAGGCCUGAGGUCAGCACAGGACUUGACAGAGAGAGAAGAGAAGACAGACAACAUAUCUUAGAGGAUGUAGUAUAGUAACAAGAGUAUCUGUCUGGGCAGGCUAUGUGUCUUAGAAGUAAGAAGACUCUCUUGAAGAAGGGUGAAGAUUUCAAAUUAUAUACCUAUGAUUCUCAUCUCUUCUCAUGUAAGUGAAAAUAAGCAGAUGCAGUGGCAAUCCCAGGGUUGUUGAUUACCUGCCAGGAAGACCUCAGGUAUGCCAGAGGGAAAUGAAAAUAAGCAAAAGAAAUCCCUCUUACCUGAAGGAUAAGAACAGAGGACCAAGGCCAAACAUUUUUCUUUCUUCAUCUCCCAAUCACGAGGGGAGUGCUGGAUACCUUAGUUUGAAGAAUAGUCACUAAUGCUUCUCUAACACUUUUUAGGUAAGUGUGCUAAAUGCUUUACAUGUCUCAUAAUCCUCUCUGCAUUCCCGUGAGGAAAAUGGAUUAAUAUCUCCAUUUUGAAGACACCAAAGCUAAGGUUUAUAGAAGUGAAAUUGACCAAGGUAUCAUGGCCAAGGAAAUGCUAAGCUUCAAACUCAUUUUGCCUGAUUCCAGCCUCUGUGCUUUUAAGAGCAUCCAAUGCUGUCUACAGCAUCCUUGGCAAAGGAUGUCAGUCCUGUGCUCCUUCGGAGUCCAGUGCCCUUCCAGUGACUGUAAGGGGACAAGUUAGCUCUGGGUUAGCAAGGAGACAGGGACAUGCCCCUGUAAUUGGUCAUUCACCAGGCCAGUCUGCUUUUACUAGGGUGUAGGAAACUUACAUUUUUCUCCCAAUGCUUUUUGCAUAGGGUUAAAGAAAAAUUAGCAUAACUAAGAGUAUAGUAGAGAACAUUUUAGCAUUUGAAUACCAGUCAGUUGAUCAGUAAGUAUCUCCUAAUAUCACAUUCUUCUUACUAUUGCAUAAGGUGCAUGGAGUUGGAGUGGUGUUUCAAUGGCAAAUCUAGACCCUUGACAAAGGACUGCUAAUCUCCAUAAGAUGACAUGAGACUAUUAAGUAUCCAGAGUCAUAUGAUUAAAUACUAAGUGCUUUGAUUGUGAGCAUUAAGGGUGUUCAGGGAAGGGGAUGGUUUGUGUGUGUCUUUUUUUUAAUCUAUUUUUUAAAGUUUUAGUGAAGUAUAGUUGAUUUACAAUGUGGUGAUUAUGUGCGGGCCUUUAAUAUGCUAUUUUGAAGAAUGUAGAUCUGUGAUGUCUUAGCAAAUUGAAGGAAUUUAGACAACAUAAGGAAAUGAGGCACUGAAGAGAAAAAUUCUUGUGAUUAUUUAUUACAAGCUGAUUAUAACCCCAGUGGUGAACAAGGUAUGAGAGGAGGGGACUGCUGGGCACAUCAGGGCCGGCUUUUACUGCCUCUAACAACUUGUGCUGAAUCAUUAUCUUCAUGUCACUAUCAGGAAGAUGGAUGGAGUGCAUAAUAUUUAGUUUUAUGUGUUGUCUGCCAAAUGUUUUUUUAUUAGAGUAUAGUUGAUUUACAGUGUCAUCAAUUUCUGCUGUACAGCAAACUGACCUAGACAUACAUAUAUUCUUUUUAUCAUACUAUCUUCCAUCAUGUUCUAUCCCAAGAGAUUGGAUAGAGUCCCCUGUGCUGUACAGUAGGACCUCAUUGCUUAUCCAUUCUAAAUGUAUAGUUUGCAUCUAGUUUGAUUUCUUAGAAAGGAAUGUCUGGUGUGUUAAGCCACUGUGUUAUCAUGCACCAAUUUUAUUAACUGACACUUCUGAUACAAAAUAUGGGUUUCUUUUUUCUCAUACCAACCAAUUCUCCACUGUUUGGAUACUAACAGGUAUACAAUUCAAUUCAUUUCUGACACUAACUCCCCAGAGUUAGCACAUAUCCCGCAGGUUAAGGACUCAGUCCCACAAGACUAUUCUCAUUUCAGAUGCUAAUCUCAAGUCUCAGACCUCCUGUACUUUUGAGCAAAUGACUAUAAAUUGGGGGGGGGUCUCGGGUUGAUAAUUUGCUGUAAUGUCUCACAGCACUCAGGGAAACAGUUUACUUACUAUUACAAAUGAACAGCUAGAGAAAGAGGUUUGUAGGGUGAAGUCUGGAAGAAUCCUUAGCACUGGAGCUUCUGUUCCUGUGGAGUUGGGGUGCACCACCCAUCUGGCAUAUGGGAGUGUUCACUGACUCAGAAGCACCCAAACCCUGUCAUUUGGGAAGUCUUAUGGAGACCCCACAAUGAUAAUUAAAUCAUUGGCCACGGGCGAUUGAACUUGGUCUCUAGACCCUCUUCCCUCUCCAGAGGUCCGGUGUGGGACUGGAAGUUCC